rnacentral:pre_miRNA from 1 species
AUUUGGCUCUGAAGUCUUGCUGUGUGGAUUGAAAUCCAGCAAGUUUCAGAGCUUUUUG